CUGUAAACCGUUACCGUGGGACGAUCUUACAGCGCUCUAUAACUCACCUGUGUUCAAUGCUGAGUGGAUGGUGACGUCCGUGGGGAACACGCCUGUCCUCGCAGGAUUCAUCGCCCGCAGUGGAGUCAGGGUGACUUUGUGUGACGGCUCAAAGUGGCUCAUUCACCAAGGGCCUAACGGUAACAUAGUAGUGAGCAGCGCCACCUACCUGUCUAGCAUGUGGAUGAUACGAUGCAGCAAGAAUUUCUAUGGACAAAAGACUGUGUCUGACUUCGUGAAUGCUGCUGGAGCGUCAGUAAAUUUCCUGCUUAACUGCAACAUCUGGGACUUAGCGAUCUGGUGGCCGACUCCACCUGUCCCAACUACUACUACAGCUGCCCCGACUACAACUACAGCUGCCGCGACUACAACUACAGCUGCCCCGACUACAACUACAGCUGCCCCGACUACAACUACAGCUGCCCCAACUACUACUACACCGGAUCCAACUACAACCACAGCUCUGCCAACAACAACAGGUGGCUGUAAACCGUUACCGUGGGACGAUCUUACAGCGCUCUAUAACUCACCUGUGUUCAAUGCUGAGUGGAUGGUGAUGUCCGUGGGGAACACGCCUGUCCUCGCAGGAUUCAUCGCCCG
ensembl:lncRNA